GCACAGGUGGCCUACCUUGUUUAAUGUCUCACAGGUGAGUAUUUGGAUCUUUUGUGUUAAACACAUUAAGGACUGUAAACAACUACUGUAUGUUUCACAGUUAUACUUAAGUAUGCACUUCACUUUUUGUUGUCACUGGUUCUUUUGUCUCUUCUUUCAUAUCUCUCUUUCAGGAGAGGAAGGUGCCAGAAGGGAGGUGAAAGGACACCAAAACUGAUGUCCUUGUUUCCAGCAAGGAAAAGCGAUGUCAGAGCAACAAUUCAAGCACAGACGAACAUUCUACUUCAGAUGGAAUCCAACGUGAGCAGACAAGGGACGUUGUCAUCCGAUUCCUUAUUGACUAUCUUGCUGAACAUGCUAGUGCCCUUUUCAAGGACUUUGAGGAUGCUGGGGAUGGAUCAACCAGCAUUCAAGAGCAGAUGGCAGAUGAAGUGAUGGCGAUUUACCUGUUGCGGAAAGAUGGGUCAGUUGAUGUCGGCAUAGUGAUUGAGGGCAGCACUAUCCUCUGCACUCUUAAGGAUCUUAAGAGGUGGCGGCCCGUGGCCUGGCAAUGUAGGCGCUGCACAUUGGAGGAUACUUCAGAAGGGGAGCUUCUCAAGCAUUACCAAGUCAAGCACAGUAUUUAUGGAUGUGGCUGAGCUGAACCAAAACCAACUAAUCACCAAUUAAAGAAGAGAGACAGCCCAGUCAUUAAGGACUUGAUGUGGAGAACUUUUGCACAUAGAGGAACAUACGACAUACAAAUGAGCAUCAGUGACAUGAAGCACAGGUGGCCUACCUUGUUUAAUGUCUCACAGGAGAGGAAGGUGCCAGAAGGGAGGUGAAAGGACACCAAAACUGAUGUCCUUGUUUCCAGCAAGGAAAAGCGAUGUCAGAGCAACAAUUCAAGCACAGAUGUGAUGAGCAGACACAGCAACAGCCACAAUAGCCACAAUCUUACAUACAGCCCCCUAAGUGUAGGAGUUCAUGUGUUGAUGUUUCCAUAAGUGUCAGAAUGUCAUCAAAAUGUCCUUCUUUGUGCAUUUGAGCCACAUGCUGCAUCCAUUUCAGCCAUAUACUCAUAUGCUCAUGUUGAUGUACCCUGAGGUUAUAUAUUUCAAAUAGAGAUUUCUCAGACUCUGUUAGUAGAUAUAUUAUAUUUUAUAUUUUUGUCAAAAAAAUUUUCAUGGUUUGUUUCAUAUAUUAUAUACAACAAGAGGUUCCCACACACUGUGUGGCUCUCAUUCAUUACUUUAGUUAGGUAACGUUUCGGUCCGUUGGAUCUUCAUCAGACAUAUUAAGUCUAGCAUAUUAGGUCUACCUUCAUCAGACAUAUUAAGUCUAGCAUACUAGGGCUACCUUCAUCAGACAUAUUAAGUCUAGCAUAUUAGGUCUACCUUCAUCAGACAUAUUAGGUCUAGCUAAUAUUUCUGAUGAAGGUCAAACGGACUGAAACGUUUCCUAAAUAAACUAAUGAAUGAGAGCAACACAGUGUGCAGGAACCUCUUUUUGAACACUUUGUUGGCUACACCUGCUUCCUACGCACCUGUGUAUCUUCAGGUGUGCUGAAACUCUGCAUUCACUCUUGUUUCAUAUAUUGACAGGAAGUACUGAAGUAGAUUAAAGAGAAAAUACAUUUUAGAUACUCAUUUUUAUAUAUUUUCUAUAUUUGAUAGUCCAUUAUGACAUUAAAGACAUCAAGUAAAUAUUGCAUAUUUGUUUUGUUCAACAAUAAUCUCAUUUUCUACUUGCUGAAAUUGUAGUUUUGG